UAUUAAAUCGACCGUUGGGUGCUAAACCCGAGAUAAACCUUCCGUUGUUUGCCUUGACGUUCAAGCCAAACCUCCGAAUCGCGCUCCCUACUCUAUCUUUCGAUGGUACUCCUUUCAGUCUUCGAUCGCCACAGUUAUGGGGGGUUGAAUUUUCCGCCUUUUCCCCAAUCUCUUCUUGCCAAAAGAUUUCGUUUCUUACGGGCAGAUUCAGCUGGUUACAAUGGGUGAGCGGAUUCGAUCGAGCAUUUCAGGAGGGUCCAGUCGUUCUUCUUUUUUGGUUGGUCUGUGUUCGCUAAUUCCGGUUGUUGUACAGUGCCGGACGAAUUCGAUUGCGAAUGGUUUGGUUUCGGAUUCGCAGAGGGCGGUUUUGCUCGCCCGGAGUAAGCUUUUCUUUCUUUCUCUUUUUCUUCCCCUGCGAUGAUGUAGUUAUUGCUUAGCUCAUGAACGGAAGUAGCUGAAGCUUUUCAUCGAUCAGCUUCAUACCGUCGCAGGUUUGUUUUUUUUUUUUUUUCUCUAACUGGGAAGAAUCCUGUUGAUUGUGAGACCUUGAGGUCGCCAUGGAGGUAUCAGCUUCCUCAUGCAACAGGUUCUCAUCGCUACCCCAAAAGAAGCUACUACGAUGUUCUCGGUGUUUCGGAGGAUGCCAGACGCGAUGAGAUUAAGAAGGCUUUUCAUGUGCUUGCAAAGAAGUACCAUCCUGAUGCAAAUAAUAAUGAUCGUUUCGCAAAGAGGAAAUUACAAAAGAUAAGAGAUGCUUAUGAGACUUUGCAAAGUCCUGGAAAAAGAACAGAGUACGACAGGAAAUGCCGCGGAAGUUCAGAAAAUGUUGAAUAUGGUGAAGGAGAUGCUGAGGGGUUUCCACGUUAUUAUGAAAGGCAUUUCUCUAGUUCAUUCCGCAAGAUCUUUUCUGAGGUAAUUCCAAGUGUGCUGCAUGUCAUUAUCUUCCAAUCUUCUGAUCCAUGAUAUUUGGUGUCAUAUCAGAA